rnacentral:rRNA from 1 species
UGGGGAAUAUUGGACAAUGGGCGGAAGCCUGGUCCAGCAACGCCGCGUGAGGGAUGACGGCCUUCGGGUUGUAAACCUCUUUCACCAUUGACGAAGCUGCAUCUUUUGGUGUGGUGACGGUAGGUGGGGAAGAAGCACCGGCCAACUACGUGCCAGCAGCCGCGGUAAUACGUAGGGUGCGAGCGUUGUCCGGAAUUAUUGGGCGUAAAGGGCUCGUAGGCGGUUUGUCGCGUCGGGAGUGAAAAACAUCCGGCUUAACUGGGUGCUUGCUUUCGAUACGGGCAGACUAGAGGUAUGCAGGGGAGAACGGAAUUCCUGGUGUAGCGGUGAAAAUGCGCAGAUAUCAGGAGGAACACCGGUGGCGAAGGCGGUUCUCUGGGCAUGAUCUGACGCUGAGGAGCGAAAAGUGUGGGAGCGAACA